UCGAGAAUUUUUCUCAAUGGGCGCAAGCCUGAUGGAGCGACGCCGCGUGGGGGAUGAAGGGUUUCGAUCCGUAAACCCCUGUCAUUUGCGAACAAACCUUGAUUGUGAAUAGCGAUCGAGCUGAUUGUAGCGGAAGAGGAAGGGACGGCUAACUCUGUGCCAGCAGCCGCGGUAAUACAGAGGUCCCAAGCGUUGUUCGGAUUCACUGGGCGUAAAGGGUGCGUAGGUGGUCGGUGAAGUUCGGUGUGAAAGCUCGGAGCUCAACUCCGAAACGGCAUUGAAAACUCAUCGGCUGGAGGGUCGGAGGGGAGACUGGAAUUCUCGGUGUAGCAGUGAAAUGCGUAGAUAUCGAGAGGAACACCAGUGGCGAAGGCGAGUCUCUGGACGACUCCUGACACUGAGGCACGAAAGCCAGGGGAGCAAACAG
rnacentral:rRNA from 1 species